AUUGAACGCUGGCGGCAUGCCUUACGCAUGCAAGUCGAACGGCAGCACGGGGCAACCUGGUGGCGAGUGGCGAACGGGUGAGUAAUGCAUCGGAACGUACCUUUCAGUGGGGGAUAACGUAGCGAAAGUUACGCUAAUACCGCAUAUUCUGUGAGCAGGAAAGCAGGGGAUCGCAAGACCUUGCGCUGAUUGAGCGGCCGAUGUCAGAUUAGCUAGUUGGUGAGGUAAAGGCUCACCAAGGCGACGAUCUGUAGCGGGUCUGAGAGGAUGAUCCGUCACACUGGAACUGAGACACGGUCCAGACUCCUACGGGAGGCAGCAGUGGGGAAUUUUGGACAAUGGGGGCAACCCUGAUCCAGCCAUGCCGCGUGAGUGAAGAAGGCCUUCGGGUUGUAAAGCUCUUUCGGCCGGGAAGAAAUCGCACGGGCUAAUACCCUGUGUGGAUGACGGUACCGGAAUAAGAAGCACCGGCUAACUACGUGCCAGCCGCCGCUGUAACAC
rnacentral:rRNA from 1 species